rnacentral:tRNA from 1 species
GCCGGCCUGGCGCAACUGGCAGCGCACUUCACUUGUAAUGAAGGGGUUAGGGGUUCGAGUCCCCUGGCCGGCU